GCAAGCGCCGCACAACGCGGCGAAUUCGCAAAUCCCCGUGGUGCGCGGCUGCUUCCUACUCGUUCUGCUCUAUUCUUCCGUUUCUCCUUUGUGUUUGUAUUUUAUGCAGGAAGCAUUUCGGAAAAACAGCAGCGCUUACAGAGUGCACGAAAUUCAUGUUGCUUUGUUUGUUAGUGCGAAAUAUGUUUUCAUUACGAUGAUGAGAGGAAUCUAAUAUUAGCAGGUUGGCAGGUUGGCGUUCAGAGUGGCGGAGCCUUGAACUUCGGUAUUUUUCAUUUUCACAGUUCAUGGACUAGGUUACGCUGUGCCGUGGCGUAAAUCAAAGCUAACUUUUCACAACUGUAAAAACAUUGUGGCCUCUUUAUAACAACGUACAAGGGACCAUGCAUUAUAUUACGUUUUGGCGAGGUGUAGUUACAUCGAGGAACAAAAACAUAACCAAAUAUUGGGU